rnacentral:piRNA from 1 species
UGUGGGUACUUAGUUCCAGCAGAGCUGGCUC